rnacentral:rRNA from 1 species
ACGCUGGCGCGUGCUUAAUACAUGCAAGUCAACUGAACUUAAGAUAGCUAAUAUUUUAAGGGAGGUGGCGCACGGGUGAGUAACACGUAGGUAAUCUGCCUUUAGGUCUGACACAACCCCGAGAAAUCGGGGCUAAUAUCAGAUGAUGCAGCGGCUCGACAUCGAGACAGUUGUUAAACCUUCGGGGCCUAAAGAUGAGCCUGCGUCUGAUUAGCUGGUUGGCGGGUAACGGCCCACCAAGGCAACGAUCAGUAGCUGGUCUGAGAGGAUGAUCAGCCACACUGGAACUGAGACACGGUCCAGACUCCUACGGGAGGCAGCAGUAAGGAAUAUUGCUCAAUGGCCGAAAGGCUGAAGCAGCAACGCCGCGUGGAGGAUGAAAUACUUUUUGUAUGUAAACUCCUGUGAGAAGGGAAAAAUAUGCAGAUUUUCUGCGUUGAUUGUACCUUCAGAGGAAGCCCCGGCUAACUACGUG